CUUCUCUUCGGAUACUUUCCGUUAUCAUCUCCUAUUUGCAAAGCAUUACCUGAACUAAACUCGGGGUCAUAUCCUGUGUAAUCGGUCCAUGUUAAAAGGUUGAUGCCAUAUACAAACAGGCUUGCGUUACUCAGGAAAACUUUUUUGGCAAUGGCGGGCUUGAAGCGAUAAGAUAAUUUCGCACUGGUUAAUCUGAGAAAAGAAGCAUCUUCCAGGAAAUAGCUGUUACCACUUCCCCGUUGGCUGCC
rnacentral:misc_RNA from 1 species